GUUAGGAAAAAAAUGAUGACAUGAUGGAAUUAACACUCUUACACUUUGUACAUAUGUAUAUAUUAUUUAACGCUACAUGUAUAUUUUGCCUUUUAUGUGUCAAAAACGAUGAUUCUAAAAAAUAAACAGUGACUCCUGUAUUUUAUGGAACAGUUACUACUUAGUUAUUAGUUUGUGGUAACUUUAACCAUUUGUCUGUUUAUUAACAUGCAUGCAUGUCAGCACAUUAUAAACUGAAAUAAAAAA